rnacentral:rRNA from 1 species
GUCUAUGGCCAUACCAUCCUGAACACGCCCAAUCUUGUCUGAUCUCGGAAGCUAAGCAGGGUUGGGCCUGGUUAGUACUUGGAUGUGAGGAAAUCUAUCAGGGGAGGGGAUGGGAUAUGGAGUUCUGGUGGUGGGAAUC